ACAAACCGUAUGGCUAGCAUUUCUCAUAAACUCUUUUAAAUGGUUGUUGCAUUUUAAGGCCGUCGACGGUGGUCUCGACCCUCUCUCUCUCUCUCUCUGGGCUCCUUCCGGUGGCCGGUGUGUGAGGGUAGUUAAUGGCUGAGACUCAGAGAGUUCAUCUUCGCUGAAACAUGUGAGUGACAUUAAAUAAACAAAUAAAUAAAGUGGGCAACAGACCCACUUCGACGUCUGAAGGGCACUUGACCGGUUGAGCCUAGACGUGAUUAAUUUUCAGAAUUCAGACCCAUCUUGGUUAUCAAUUUGAAAUGUCACAAAAGCAGUGUGCGUGGUCAACCAAAGCUCUAGAAGCUCUGGAAGCUGGUGGUUACAGAGAGAUCAUCUUGAUGCCUCUGGUAGCUCUCCCAAGUUCCAAUUUUCUUAAUAUAGCAACAAGCAACAUUUGCAGAGACGAUGAUGGUGCCAGCUUCUGAGAACAUGGAUGAAGCUACUGGGACUAUAGUUAAAAUCACGACAAAAUAGAAGAUGAUUGUCGGUGGCUAAAGGAGGCAUUCUCCUUGAUUAGGCAUUGUCUAAUCCCGUUGUUACCGUUCGAAGAGAUAGUAAUUUGGAGUUUAUAUACUUGAGAAAAUGGCUAGGCAGCCACAGAACUUGAUCCUGUUGAGUCAAGAAGUUCUGGUUCAAAAGCAUGACCGAACAAGGAUCUACAUGCUACAGUUUGAUGUGCAACAGCCACGACGUUGCAGACAGAUUGUAUCCACAAAGAGAUAAUCAUAAAAUUCUAGCUUGAAAAUGCAAAUUGACUAGCUUUUCCAUAUUGAGACUUGAGAUGCUGCCCCUUGGAGCAUACUUGGUAGGACACAAGGAUGUGACAAAAACUGCUUUUCACUUUUGCUUGCUGAUCUCUAACGGUUUUAGAACACAAGUUAGUUUUCUUUAUUCUUAUCCUCCCAAGUUGAAUUUGUCUUCAUAGUCUCAAGAUAAUGAAUCUCGAUGCAUCUUCUGUUUUCGGAUGAGUUAUUGACCCAUCAAUUCUUUUCCUACCGUCCAAAGCAUUUAAAGUUGUUCAUGAGAAGUUGUUUGAGUUCUUUGAUGUUUCUUCUCCUAGCCUAAAGAGCUUGAGGUGGUAAUACCAAUUUAUAUUGGUGUUGUAUGAAACUUUCUUCCCAAAUAUUCAUUUAGACCAUUCAUUAAAGAUUAUGUCCUCUCUGUCUCUGGUUGAUGCAUACAUUGGCUUGCAAACUUGUUAUCAUGAUUUGAGAAGGCACAACAACAACAACAACAAACUAUAUUGAGCUGAAUUGUAAUUUCGAUUAUGUAAUUGAGGUUGCAUCUCACGCCUCUCCUUGGGAAGCCUUCAUUGUAUACUUUUCUGCUUAUUGAUUAUUUAAUAAGCCUUCUAUUACUUAUCAAAAAAAAAAAAAAAAGACACGAGAACAAAUAUGUUUUGUGCCUGUAAGUUUCUUUGAGGGCUUUGUAAUGCAAAAAAUGUCUUUCCGUUUCAUCUAUUCUCUUGGCAGCCAUUUGUUGAGAAAGUUUUCUGGUAUUUCUUA